AUUUGUACAGCAGGAGACACCCGCCAGCUCUCAUGGAUGCAGACACAUCUGUGUAUAUGAAUUGUGGCACUGCCUUUUGGUACAGGACACCACAGCCGUGCAAGCACAGCAGCGGGGAAAGACAGGUACUAGGAGAGGGUCAGAUUUACCUGGCAUCGGAUGAGAAAGGCUACAGAGCAUCCUGAAGCUUGGUCAAGGAGGGAAUCAGGCAUUCUGGUUGGUUUCAGUUGAUUACUGAGUGGUUUCACUUGGAGCCUCACACGUCCCAGCACUGCCAGCAGGGCUGCUAGUGGCUGUGGGAAGAUGUUGCUGGCAGGUUUUCUCUAACAGUUUUCCACUCCAGCUUGUCUUCUGCAGAGAAGGCUGGCCUGUGACAGCAGGAAGAUUUUGAAAGUGCAGUGGAAAGCAAGCAUGCCAGGGAUGAAGGCAUGUUGGCUAAGCAAGCAGUCAUUUCUAAACAAGGUUUUUAACUGAAGCUCAAAGUAGCUGUUUUGGCCCUCGAGAAUAUCUGAAAAACUUUUCAGGUGGAAUCAGCUUGCUAAGAUAAAGAUGCUAAAGUCAGAAUGAGGCUAAGUGCAACAUUAUCAACAAUGCUGGCAGGCUCUCUGCUUGCUUCCAGCAGGUCAGGUCAGAG
ensembl:lncRNA